AGCAGCCGCGGUAAUUCCAGCUCCAAUAGCGUAUAUUAAAGUUGUUGCAGUUAAAAAGCUCGUAGUUGAAUUUCGGGAUUGACGUGAUGGUCGUGCCUUAAGGGGUAUGAACUGUUGCUGUUGAUUUCUCACCUUCUGGAGAAACUUGAUGUCCUUAAUUGGGUGUCUUGCGGAUCCAGGACCUUUACCUUGAGAAAAUUAGAGUGUUUAAAGCAGGCAUUUUGCUCGAAUACAUUAGCAUGGAAUAAUAGAAUAGGACGGCAUGGUUCUAUUUUGUUGGUUUCUAGGAUCACCGUAAUGAUUAAUAGGGAUAGUUGGGGGCAUUAGUAUUCAAUUGUCAGAGGUGAAAUUCUUGGAUUUAUUGAAGACUAACUACUGCGAAAGCAUUUGCCAAGGAUGUUUUCAUUAAUCAAGAACGAAAGUUAGGGGAUCGAAGACGAUCAGAUACCG
rnacentral:rRNA from 1 species